rnacentral:lncRNA from 1 species
GUCAAAUGGCUUUACCUAGGUCCAACUUAUGUACGUGAUAUUGUUUAGUCUCGAAGUAGUGAUCUGCUUUGUUUGAUUCCAAAUUUUGUUCUUGAUACCAUUACCAUUGACGGCUGCUGUCAAUGGGGCUGCCUUCUUCAUAAAGUCAACUAGACCCGGAGACGUGUACGGCGCCGUCUGACAAUACACAGAUUAUCUAUGGGCCCUAUCUGAAACCUGACUGAACUGAUCAAAUCGCUCCUUGAGAACUCUCUGCAUGGACGCUUCAUAUGUUGAAUGAUCGCGAGACAUUAGCACAGUUGCGAGGCAAUGUGGUAUGGCUAGAGAUAUCACUUAUUUGUGUGUCGACACCCUGAAGGACUGAAACUGGAUGAUCCGCUUGCCAGCAAUGAAGAAGCGAUAGGAAAGUGACAUCGAUUAAAGUGUAUAGCAUUUAGGAAAUCGUCAUUACCUCUCUUUCCUUUCAAUCAGAGCAACGCCAAGGACCAUGAGCAGUAAACUCAAGAAACGAAAUCAAUACAGAGACCUUCACAGGACUACUGAUUGGUGACACUGGAUCAUAGCAUCGUGAUGGAAAGGAUCGAAUCGUAUUAGUGGGACGGUGUAAUCGAGCUCAUCGAGUCGAUCUGCGGCUAUCACAGCCUUCAUGUACUUGCUGCAAGUAGGCAAUGCGUUUGAGCUGGCUUGAGUUCGGCUACUCGAUUGUGACAGAAAUCGAUCUCAAUCGAAUGUCUGGUCAUUUUACUUCAGUUUGUUGAAAUUUGGCCGUCACAAAAUGCCCUACCGAAGUUUGUGUGUGGUGCAAAUCAUCAAGCGAAGAGUAACGAGAUAAUUGACGAUAACUCUUGUGGUGGCAGCGAAAAAAACCAAUGACAAAUAAGGAAAAACAAUAUCAAGCUAGUAAAUCCGUCAUUUCAUCGAUCACAAGGGCGCAUUGUACGAAACAGCUUCUAACCGAUUAAAACCCGGACGAGAAACUUAACAACGAUCUGACGCCUUAAACGACGACGGCCGCCACUUCGUGGGCCUGCGUACAUCGGCAUCGUGCAUUCGCAUAUAAACUCUUAGUGGACUGAUAGACUCCCGACACAAUUAUUUUCCUACGGAAGACUGCCAUAUGAUUCGAGCUUCGCUAACGCAUGAGGAAGAUGUACACGAACGCCCUGAUAGUGCACGCAUUGAAUCAAGUUCUAUUUGCAGAUACUUAUCUAAACACCUAAUAGACUAAUCAUGAGAUACGAACUUCAUAAUUGUGCAGUUUAUUUCUAGUUGGAUUUCUGAGCAAAACGUAGAUAGAGAAGAUUUUUUGGGAUAUACCUAUAGCGACUAAUUCAUGUACAGUGAAGCAUAUUUAGACAGAACUUUUUUACUUGUCAAACAGUGUGUGUGCUUUGCGCCCCUUAAAUUAUUUUUUUGUGCAUUACGAAAAUUAUCAAUUCCGCUUCUAUUUCAGCCGCUUCUUUUAUCCUGCAGAUCUUCAACGUUCAAUAAUUUUAAUCCCUAUUUUUAUUGACUGACGAAAAUACUUAGAAAAAAUUCUUCUGUAUAACUAUUUCAAAACUAAAUCUAUAUCGUUCCACGAAUAUGCAGAAAAAGAAAUCGUUACCUCGAUCCUGCAGAGACGAGUUUCAUACAUUUGACAAUACUUAUCCUUUGAGCAAGAACGCUACUCCUGUUAAAUACAUUCUAUAAAACAAGGUGCAAAAAUUAAAUGUCGCGCGCACGAUAUUCGAGAUGCUGCUCUGGCCACGCUGACAAACGAAAAGAAUACAUAAAGACGGGUGCUUAACAUUUAGACUGCGAGAAAACCUUAUUAUGUUCAUCUAUGCAGCUUCGUUUUCUUCUUAGACGUAUCUGAUUUUGGUUGCCCGUACGAGUGAUAUCGUAGAAUGCGUACUCAUUGCGAUUUAUACACGGCCAGGUAUGUAUAAUAUAUUCAGUAUGUUAUAAACGAACUAGGCCUAUUGGAUCGAUGUUGGCUCCGAUUAGGUUCCUCACUCAGAUUUGUUUGCUGGCUCUUUGCUAGAAAACUAUAUAUAGUUUUGUAAUCCAGACCUUAGCCAUGACGGGCCUGAACGCAUGCCGCUUAUCGAGUGCUAUGCUACUUUCAGAAAUACUAGACCUAAACCCACGUCGGAUGCCCUCGGUCACACCUAGCUGCGUUGAUAGCGUAGAAAGGCUUCUUAUUUAAAUAUAUAGUUAAUAUAUACAUUUAAAUAUAUUCUCAUCAACAGCACCUAUUCGCAACAUUUUGGAAUUUAAUUAAAAAAAAAAAAAAGUAUAUUUUUGUACUUUCUAUUAUUUAGCUAAUAUUCAAAUCCAGGAUAACCGUCUACAACCACGCCGUUUGAUCAGAAUUGAUCAUAACAUGCUUAUUUAUGUGCAUAGUUUUUUCUAAUACAAAAUUAAGUAUAUACCUUGUAUGCUCUUUAAGGCAAGGAUUGCAGAUGGCGCGGUUCAAUAUAAUAAAGUCAAGAACCAGCUUGGACGCGCAGAAACGUCACUGGUCGCCAAUGGAAAUGAAAACUAUGGUUAUACUGAGGCCGACUUGCUCGAACAUUGGACGGCGCUAGAUGAACAGGCAAUAGCAACGCAAAAAGGAGAUCUUUUCUACUUCUAAGCACACCCCCGUCAGCGGCCAGAUCAAACCGGAACAUAUAGUGACGCAUGAUCCGAGCACCUAGUCAUGCUAGUGGAUCGGAUAGUUGACGUUCAUUGCAGUUGUUGGUCGGGUACGUCCUGCGUUUUUUUAAUGCCGACGCUAUGUUCGUAGUCGCCGUUGUAAUAUUGGUGUUUCCUUUCUCAGUGGCAAUGGGCAAGUCUAAUCGACAGAGUGGUGUGACCAUCAUCCUUGGUAAUAAUUAUAUGCUUACAUACCAGUAGCAGCCCGUACAUAGCGUUAGCAUGAAAACGCAUGCGACGCUUUUCGUGCUAGCUGCUACGUUGCUCCCUAAGAAGCGUCCCGUCGUCGUCGUCGUCGUCUUUUUUCCCUCCUCCACCAGCAUCCGAAGUCGUCAAGACAGCACUGCCCCGAAGCUUCCGAUACGUUUUUACAGAUACUUCACUGCGAGCCAUGCGCGAUUAGCUCUUAUCGACAUGAAUACCUUCAUGCUUGCCAAGUUAACGGCAAAUAUGAUUUGUUAACCAAGUUAUUGACAUAAACGUGAUAAAUAUUAUAGCUGUCAUUCAUAUAUGUGAUAGAUGCUGCUUGUACAUGUUUUAGUACAAUACGUUGAUUUUCCGUCGAAACGGGUUUCUGACAUACACAGAAUUUAGCAAUGGACAGCUUGGCACAACCGAAUUUGUGAGUUGAGUAGCGAUAUGCUCUUUGAAGGUAACGUGCAGCUUUUGCUUGCUGGCACACACAAAAGCGGAUCAAUCAGAAUUAUCGUGAUAUAGUUCGUGGGGUCUUAGUGUACCAGGAAGUAAAAGUUCAACAAAUCUUGAUCAGAAAUUCAGUGUAUUGCUUCUAUUACCGUUGUUAUUUCGCAGAGCCUUCUGCUGCAAUUUGUAGACUCUUUGUCGUCCUCAUGGAAUGACGCAAUGGCAGUAACAUGUUUGCCUAGUAAAUUUAGGCACGCUUAGUGACGUAAUGUGGUAGUAGUACGUAGAUACUCUUUGUUUCGUGCCGGAAAGGGGCAGCCAUCGAAACAAUGAACACUUAACGAAGGCAGCACUGUACGUAAAACGAUUCUAUUAUUAAAUAUCUAUUAUCUGUUGUACAAGUUUCCAAGUUGCAGACUGUAGGUACGUAGCUGUUUGUAGUAGUAGCGCUGCUACGAUGAGUCGGGGCGUAUGUGUGUACUUUUGCAAUGGUUCUCAAUUAGCUUUAGAAGCGACCCAUGUCGAAACUGCAAGAAAAAAAGCUCAUUUCGUCUCA